rnacentral:rRNA from 1 species
CCUACGGGUGGCAGCAGUGGGGAAUAUUGGGCAAUGGGCGCAAGCCUGACCCAGCAACGCCGCGUGAAGGAAGAAGGCUUUCGGGUUGUAAACUUCUUUUCUCAGGGACGAAGCAAGUGACGGUACCUGAGGAAUAAGCCACGGCUAACUACGUGCCAGCAGCCGCGGUAAUACGUAGGAUGCGAGCGUUAUCCGGAUUUAUUGGGUUUAAAGGGUGCGUAGGCGGAGUGUCAAGUCAGCGGUAAAAUUUCGGGGCUCAACCCCGUCGUGCCGUUGAAACUGACACCCUUGAGUGAGUGAGAAGUAAGCGGAAUGCGUGGUGUAGCGGUGAAAUGCAUAGAUAUCACGCAGAACGCCGAUUGCGAAGGCAGCUUACCGGCGCUCAACUGACGCUGAGGCACGAAAGUGCGGGUAUCGAACAGGAUUAGAUACCCGAGUAGUC